rnacentral:tRNA from 1 species
CGGGGCGUGGCGCAGCCUGGAAGCGCAUCUGCUUUGGGAGCAGAGGGUCGGAGGUUCAAAUCCUCUCGCCCCGACCA